CAGUCGCCACGGUAAUACGUAGGUGGCAAGCGUUGUCCGGAAUUAUUGAGCGUAAAGGGCUCGCAGGCGGUUUCUUAAGUCUGAUGUGAAAGCCCCCGGCUCAACCGGGGAGGGUCAUUGGAAACUGUUAAACUUGAGUGCAGGAGAGAAAAGUGGAUUUCCUAGUGUAGCGGUGAAAUGCGUAGAGAUUAGGAGGAACACCAGUGGCGAAGGCGGCUUUUUGGCCUGUAACUGACACUGAGGCGCGAAAGCGUGGGGAGCAAACAGGAUUAGAGACCCCCGUAGUCCCUGUCUCUUAUAC
rnacentral:rRNA from 1 species